GAUGAAGAACGCAGCGAAAUGCGAUAAGUAAUGUGAAUUGCAGAAUUCAGUGAAUCAUCGAAUCUUUGAACGCACAUUGCGCCCCCUGGUAUUCCGGGGGGCAUGCCUGUCCGAGCGUCAUUACAACCCUCAAGCUCAGCUUGGUGUUGGGCCCCGCCGCCCCGGCGGGCCCUAAAGUCAGUGGCGGUGCCGUCCGGCUCCGAGCGUAGUAAUUCUUCUCGCUCUGGAGGUCCGGUCGUGUGCUCGCCAGCAACCCCCAAUUUUUUUCAGGUUGACCUCGGAUCAGGUGGGACUACCCGCUGAACUUAAGCAUAUCAAUAAGCGGAGGA
rnacentral:misc_RNA from 1 species